rnacentral:lncRNA from 1 species
UAAGGUGCAAAUGAGCUUUGAAAGCGUUAUACGUAAUGAAGACCUUACUAAUUGAUUAGAAGUGAAAUUAAUCCUGCACUAAUUCCUUCAAAUAGUAAAAUCUAUGGAGUCAUUGUCCUCAUCUAUUAUGAGCAGUUACUUUCAUGUCUCACUAUUUCUUGACUUGAUCUUGCUCAAAAGAAAGCCACACUCUCAACAGAGUCCUGAGAGUACCUGGCUUUCUUGGAAACUGCCUUAAACUAUCUCAAUCCUGAAUGCACACCCAUCAUCUAUAACGUAAUCCAAACCAUUGUUUCGAUGUUUAUAUCUUUCCAAAAAGCCUGUCAUAGAAUGGUUUGGAUACAAACAAAGGUCCCGUUAUCUGUGGAUUCGUUAACACAUAUUAUCGCAGCUUCAUUUAAGUUGCAGUUUCUAAAUUUCCUAGCUAUAUCAUCUGUGUAUGUCUUUUCUCCCUGUCUACAUUGAUGAAGGCCGGUAAUUGGAUUCUCCACUGAUUCUGUGUCUGCCAAACACAUGAGUAUAUUUAGUGGAUAGAUGGUGAAAAGUGGCAAGAUCCAUAUUGGAACACUAGUUCUUGAUGCCUUAAUUAUUGGAGUGAAGUUACACUUUUAAAUAUUUGAGAAUUACUGAUCCGUGCAUUAUUUAAUAGAGGACAAUGUUUUGAAACAACGAAUUUAACAAAUAUAAGUUAAAAUAUUUUUUUUUAAUGUGAAAACUGUCUCUGUCAUGACAGUUGAAUGGGGAUGAUAUAGAUCCCUGUGAAUUCAUCCAGUACAGCAUGAUGGGAGUAAUCCCGAAAAUGAGUAUUGAACUAUAAGGGUACAGAGAAAGCAAUGGGUUAUUCUAUCUGUCAGAGUUAGGCAAGAAUUCACAGAAGAAUUCUUUUGAAUCAUAGUUUUAUCAAGAUGGAAGAGGGAAGUGGUUUCAGAAAAAGGAAAAAGACCGAAGCCUGGUUUAUGGCAGGAAGCAAAGGUGGAUGGAAAAUAAGUGACUUGAAAAAUAAAUAGGGAUUUUAUUAUAGUUUGAUUGUAAGAGAAUAUUUAGGAAUUGUGGAAUGUUAUCCGUAAAAUUAGGAAGUGAAGAGAGACUCUUAAAGUGGAGGAGUGACACAAUCCCAUUUACCCAGGGAAAUUCUGAAAACUGUAAUGAUUUGAUUCAGGUUUUAAAUGACAUUUAAAAACGACACAUGCUCCGUCAAAGAGGCAGAUAAAGACUGUUCUGUUUGCAAAUUUAGUGUCAUCAAACUGCUGAUGGGGCCAGGUGUGGUGGCUCAUACCUAUAAUCCUAGCACUUUGGUACGCUGAGGUGGGAGGAUUACUUUGAGUUCAGGAGUUCAAGACCAUCCUGGGCAACAUGGGGAGACACUGUGCCUACAAAAAAAAAAAAAAAA